rnacentral:rRNA from 1 species
GACGGGGGGGGGCAAGUGUUCUUCGGAAUGACUGGGCGUAAAGAGCUCGUAGGCGGUGUGUCGCGUCGGCCGUGAAAGCCUGCAGCUUAACUGUGGGCUUGCGGUCGAUACGGGCAUCACUGGAGUUCGGCAGGGGAGACUGGAAUUCCUGGUGUAGCGGUGAAUGCGCAGAUAUCAGGAGGAACACCGGUGGCGAAGGCGGGUCUCUGGGGCCGAUACUGACGCUGAGGUGCGAAAGCGUGGGGAGCAAACAGG